rnacentral:rRNA from 1 species
GUGUCAGCAGCCGCGGUAAUACAGAGGGUGCGAGCGUUGUCCGGAAUCACUGGGCGUAAAGGGCGCGUAGGCGGCCUGAUAAGUCGGGGGUGAAAUCCUGUGGCUUAACCACAGGGCUGCCUCCGAGACUGUCGGGCUCGAGCACAGUAGAGGCAGGUGGAAUUCCCGGUGUAGCGGUGGAAUGCGUAGAGAUCGGGAAGAACAUCGGUGGCGAAGGCGGCCUGCUGGGCUGUUGCUGACGCUGAGGCGCGACAGCGUGGGGAGCAAACAGGAUUAGAAACCCUCGUAGUCC